UACGGGGGGGGUAAGCGUUGUUCGGAAUUACUGGGCGUAAAGGGCUCGUAGGCGGCCAACUAAGUCGGACGUGAAAUCCCUCAGCUUAACUGGGGAACUGCGUCCGAUACUGGAUGGCUUGGAUUUGGGAGAGGGAUGCGGAAUUCCAGGUGUAGCGGUGAAAUGCGCAGAUAUCAGGAGGAACACCGAUGGCGAAGGCAGGUCUCUGGGCAUUAACUGACGCUGAGGAGCGAAAGCAUGGGGAGCGAACAGG
rnacentral:rRNA from 1 species